rnacentral:lncRNA from 1 species
AGGAAAUGUUUUACUAUGUUUUUUUUAAUAAUCUCAUUAUAGAUUCUGAUCAUGUUUACUUUUUUUGACAUGAUGCCUAGAACUACCCAUAGCCCCUCCCCUAUAAAUAGGAGGAUUAUACGUUUCGACACACUUAAACUCACAUAUCAUAUAUUGGCAACAACGCCCAUGCCUAUCAAGCUAAGACUAUUGUAGAGGUCCAAUUUCGUCCGGCCCAACAAAACUGAACAAACCAAAAGACCAAAAAAACAAAUAAACAAAAAUAAAAACAAGCCCAUUUAUUAAAAGUCCAGUCCAUUUACAAACCCAAAUACUACCCAAAUACAAAACCUAAAUACCCAAUUACCUAAGCCUAAGCCCAAGCCCAAAUCCCCUAAACCUAAAACAGAAAACCCUAAUUCCUCUAAGCUUCUAGCCGUCGCCGCUCCUCUGCCUUUGCCAUGCCAACAGGCACGUCGCUCAAGGUCUACCUUCCUUUCACCUAAAUGGCAAGGCGUGGCUCCCCAGUGCCUUUGACCUUGCCACGAAUACCUAC